AUGCCUCUCGCUCUCGGGCUCCUAAUAGCAGCUCCUGAUAUUCUCGCUGCUUGCCAGGGACUGUGCCCUCCGCUAGAGAGCGCUAUUGGACCGUUUUCGCGCAUCCAACCCUCUCACUGCAGUCCCCACGCUCUAACAUUGACUGUCUCGCCGCAAAAGGCGCUUCGAGCAGCAUUGGAUCGAGCAACCAUGUCAGGCGUUUCCUCAGACACUCUGCGCGAUUCAGCCUUCAGAAUCCGAGGAACGCUACAAGGGUCUGGCAAAGACGGCCCGUUUAUGACGGCUCAUACAGCCGCCGCUUUUUCGCUAGCGGCAGAGCCCGAUGUUCAUCUUGUUGGAUUAACUCCUGCCGUAGACACGCUUCAGGAUUAUACACAACGAGAUGCAACGGAUUUGACGCACGCGCUUCCCCGGCUUACGGACGCCGCGAGCUUUCCGUAUUCGGGCAUGUUAACGCGUAUGAAAACGCUGAAAAAGGCGGAAACCUUGAAACCACUGACGCUAUUUCGGGCCGCGUGGGAACGCUUGCCCGGCAUUUCGCAAUGGGUGUUACGCACGAUUCGUCUCGGAUACACCAUUCAGUUUCGAAAAGGCCCGCCUCCUUUCCGCGGAAUUCUUCCCACGGUUGUGAAACCAGAGGAAGUCGCGGUGCUGCGGCAAGAAAUGACAGCUCUGCUGAAGAAAGGGGCUAUAGAAGAAGUACACCCCUCUCAGAUGGAGUCAGGUUUUUACAGCCGCUAUUUUGUUGUACCAAAAAAAGGGGGCGGUUUGCGACCCAUAUUGGAUCUACGCCAUUUGAAUCUUGCACUCAGGACGAGCAAAUUCAGGAUGUUAACGGUAAAGUCCAUUUUGUCUCAGAUUCAACCAAACACUUGGUUUGUCACGAUCGAUCUGAAGGAUGCAUAUUUUCAUAUUCAGAUCAUCAAGAGACACAGGAAGUUCCUCAGAUUCGCUUUAGAGGGCAAAGCGUAUCAAUACCGUGUUCUUCCGUUCGGCUUAGCCCUGGCUCCCCGAACUUUUUCAAAAUGCAUGGACGCAGCUCUGGCCCCGUUGCGGCUCCAGGGCGUUCGUGUGUUGAAUUACUUGGACGAUUGGCUGGUGCUAGCUCAAUCACAGACUCAAGCACUCUCUCACCGAGAUUUAGUGCUGAAUCAUUUAAGAAGCCUGGGCUUAUGCACGAAUUUCCAGAAGAGUGUUUUAAUCCCCUCUCAACGGAUAACCUUUCUGGGAAUAGAUUUGGACUCUCGCGCGAUGACAGCCAGACUAUCUCUCCCACGCGUUCAGUCUCUCACGUCAUGCGUGCGUCACUUCAAAGUAGGCCGCACAGUGACGGUGAGUUUGUGUCUCAGGCUGUUAGGUCUGAUAGCAGCGGCAUCCCCUGUAAUUCGUCUGGGCUUACUCCACAUGCUGCCUUUUCAGUGGUGGACGAAAAGUCAGAACAUUUCACCCCGUUGUUUUCCGCAUCGUACGAUUUCGGUGACACGGAGGUGUGUUAUGUCAAUAAAACAGUGGAUGUCAACCGAGUUCCUUCUAGCCGGAGUUCGGCUGGGGAUUUGUGCUUCCCGAGAGACUGUCACGACGGACACGUCUUUGACCGGUUGGGGAGCUGUUUGUCAAGGGCGCCCAGCUCAUGGAGUGUGGACAGCGACACAACGCGGUUGGCACAUAAACAGGUUGGAACUACUGGCAGUUUUUCUAGCUCUCCAGUAUUCCUCAAAUCUGCUGACCGGCCGUCAUGUACUACUCAGGUCAGACAACAUGGCGGUUGUGUCAUACCUGAAUCAUCAAGGAGGGUUACGCUCUCGCCCCCUGUGCAGGCUGGCGAGGAGUAUUCUCCUUUGGUCUCAGAACAGAUUUCUGUCGAUCCGAGCAGUUCAUGUCCCCGGACGUUUGAACGUCGGAGCGGAUCUGCUAUCCUUGCCAGCCCGCUCAGAGAUGUGUAUAAGAGACAGGUCAUGUACUACUCAGGUCAGACAACAUGGCGGUUGUGUCAUACCUGAAUCAUCAAGGAGGGUUACGCUCUCGCCCCCUGUGCAGGCUGGCGAGGAGUAUUCUUCUUUGGUCUCGGAACAGAUUUCUAUCGAUCCGAGCAGUUCAUGUCCCCGGACGUUUGAACGUCGGAGCGGAUCUGCUAUCCAGACAGACUCUGGAGCAGGGGGAAUGGAGAUUACACCCACAGACGGUGAGCCUUUUAUGGCAGAUAUUCGGAGAGGCGAGAGUGGACUUAUUCGCGUCGAGCACGACUACGCAUUGCCCGCUGUGGUUCUCCCUAUGCCCUCCAUCGCCCCUAGGCCUGGAUGCGUUAGCUCACGAUUGGCCCAGGACCAGCUUGUAUGCUUUUCCUCCAAUUUGUCUAAUUCCAGCGGUGUUGUCCAGUAUACGGCUGGACAGAGUGGAGCAGCUGCUGCUGGUGGCUCCGUGGUGGCCCACACAGCCGUGGUUUGCGGAACUGGUCAGUCUAAUAGUGGGCUCUCCAUGGGAGAUUCCCCUCAGACAGGACUUACUAUCGCAAGCACGAGGGAUGAUUUGGCACCCGAGGCCAGAUCUGUGGAAACUGUGGGCGUGGCCUCUGAGCGGAGUGAGUUAAUAUGUCCCGGUCUUUCUGCGGAAACCUCCGAGACUAUUAUGAAUUCCAGAGCAGCAUCUACGAGACGCUUAUAUGCUUUCAAAUGGAAGCUGUUUACGACCUGGUGUGGUUUUCGUAGUAUGGACCCAGUUUACUGCCCAGUGGCUUCAGUACUGGAGUUCCUUCAAGACCGUUUCUCUGAUGGAGUAACGCCAGCAACUUUGAAAGUUUAUGUGGCAGCCAUUUCAGCUAACCACGUAUAUAUGGAUGGUGCUUCAGUGGGCCGUCAUCCGCUGGUCUCUCGCUUUUUACAAGGUGCGCGACGGCUGAGGCCUUUCCGCCCUGUGCGAGUUCCCUCAUGGGAUUUAUCUAUUGUACUGCAAGGUCUAUCAGGACAUCCGUUUGAGCCCUUGGAAACCGUACCGGAUAAAAUCCUGACCUUGAAGACAGUUCUUCUUAUGGCCUUAUCCUCCCUCAAGAGAGUUGGGGAUUUACAGGCUCUUUCUGUUUCGCCGUCGUGCAUGGAUUUUGCACCAGGCUUUGUGAAGGUAUUGCUGCGACCGAGGCCUAAUUAUGUCCCUAAAGUCGCUUCGAACCCCUUUCAUUUUCAGCAGACGGUCCUGGAGGCUUUACCCCCUGCUGGGACAGGAUCAGAAGAUCUAAGUCUUUGCCCUGUCAGAGCGCUUAAGACUUAUGUCGAUCGAUCAGCCUCAUGGCGUGAGUCCGACCAGCUGUUUGUCUGUUUUGGACACAAGAAUAGAGGCCAUGCUGUCACGAAGCAACGCAUGUCCCAUUGGUUGGUGGAGGCAAUAUCUUUAGCCUAUGAGGCGCGCGGUCUCGCCUCGCCUCUAGGAGUCAAAGCUCAUUCCACUAGAGCAGUCGCUUCCUCUCAGGCGGCCCUCAGUGGAUCUUCUAUGGCUGAUAUCUGUGCUGCGGCAGGAUGGUCCUCACCGAACACUUUUAUCAAGUUUUACAGUUUGGAUGUAAGGACGGCUCCUGGCUCCCGGGUUCUCUCCGCUUGA
rnacentral:lncRNA from 1 species